rnacentral:rRNA from 1 species
UACGUAGGGGGCAAGCGUUAUCCGGAUUUACUGGGUGUAAAGGGAGCGUAGACGGCCAGACAAGUCUGAAGUGAAAGCCCGGGGCUCAACCCCGGAAUGGCUUUGGAAACUGUGAGGCUGGAGUACCGGAGAGGUAAGCGGAAUUCCUAGUGUAGCGGUGAAAUGCGUAGAUAUUAGGAGGAACACCAGUGGCGAAGGCGGCUUACUGGACGGUAACUGACGUUGAGGCUCGAAAGCGUGGGGAGCAAACAGG